GGGAGGAGGAGAAGGAAACGGCGAGGCUUGGUGGCUUACACCUCUGUAAAGGAAGAGGAAGAGGAGGAGGAGCAGGAGGAAACAGCCAGGCGUGGUGGCUCACGCCUGUAAAGGAGAAAGAGGAGGAAGAAACAGCCAGGCACAGUGGCUCAAGCCUGCAAAGGAGGAGGAGGAAACAGCCAGUUGCAGUGGCUCACGCCUGUAGAGGAGGAGGAGGAGACAGCCAGGCACAGUGGCUCAUGCCUGUAAAGGAGGAGGAGGAGGAGCAGGAGGAAGAAGAAACAGCCAGGAAGGGUGGCUCAUGCCGGUAAAGGAGGAGAAGGAAGAGGAGGAGGAGGAGGAAACA
rnacentral:lncRNA from 1 species